rnacentral:rRNA from 1 species
UACGGGGGGGAGCAAGCGUUGUUCGGAUUUACUGGGCGUAAAGGGCGCGUAGGCGGCCACCGCAAGUCGACUGUGAAAUCUCCGGGCUUAACUCGGAAAGGUCAGCCGAUACUGCGGGGGCUAGAGUGCAGAAGGGGGCAACUGGAAUUCUCGGUGUAGCGGUGAAAUGCGUAGAUAUCGAGAGGAACACCUGCGGCGAAGGCGACUCACUGGACAUGUAUUGACGCUGAGGUGCGAAAGCGUGGGGAGCAAACAGG